rnacentral:lncRNA from 1 species
AUGACUUUAGACAAAAAUCACCAGAAGAAUUACCCAGGUCUUCUUCUCCUUGGUGAUCUCAAGCUUCCUGGGUGUCUUGGUUUUGGAACAUUUCUACUUUCAGUUCACUCUUUAAAAAUAAACUCAAAUAGACAUGUCCUCUCUUCCACACAAUUAAAUUCUAGUUUUCUACAUGCAUCUAAUCCAUACUUAGGAGAUAAGGAUAUUCCUGAAUUAAUGUCUUUCUGGUCUCAGGUAAGAGGUAUUUUCUCAUUGUUCUUAGCCCAAAGGAGCUACUACAAUGCUGAGAAUCUUGGCAUAGCUGUGGGAAGACGUACUAAGACAUGAAAUAAGUACAGGGUUUGUCACAUGACCUACGGUGACUAGUCGUGCAGGCUUUUGGAGAGUCAACCCAAUAUUUCUUAUAUGGUCCCUGAUUAUUUACUGUGUCUAGAAUGGAACUAUUUUUUAGUUCCAUUUUUUAGUUCUCAUGUUUAUUUUCAUCCUGAAAUAAAAGAAAAUUUAAAGACAGAAUAUGACUGUGUCAUUUAGAAUGACCCAAGUGGGAAACCACCUCAAAGUUUCACUUAUAAAGCAGAUGACUGUGUUAUACUUUUAAAGACUAGACUUUGUGGAACAAUCUAGUGUUCAGAAUGUAGAAGGCCUUGAGUUCUUGUGCUUGUGUUCCAUUUUGUCCUUCAGACCAGUCACUGGACAUUUUUCCUUACUGAGCUAAUUGUAUUUGCCACACACUGAUCAAAAUAAUUUCACAGCCUUUGGCUUAUUUUAAGAACUGAACAAAUGUGCUGAUUUGUAUAAAGAAGACAGAGCAGAGAACUUUCCUGGGAAAUGAGAGAUAUUUUGAAAACUGUCAUACUGAAGAUGACAGGGAGGCUUAAUUAGCUGAUGCUUGCAAAGUACUUUGAAAAUGAAACCAUGAUGUCCUUGCUAAGCAUGACGAAUACCAUUUAAUCUUGGAUCAGUAAAAAGUCAUAUAUUUUGAGACAUUCAGAUUUGGUGUGUGUGCUCUACGAAAUGCAAAUUGUUUUUUGUAAAAAGAACAAAUACAACUCUCGGUGAAAAAUGCAGAAAUAAGACAAAUUUUUGAAUACAAAGUUAUUAGUCUAGGGACUUCAAUAUGGAGAGUUGAUGUGAAAUUAGAUAAUGUUAUUUUGCCCAAAUUUGUGUGUCUAUUUAGAGGCAUCGGCAUAGCUGAGAGAACACUUGGUACUGAGUUAGAAGAUCUGAGUUCCAGAACUGAGCUGCCUUUGCCAGCCAAGAGACUUUUUGUCAAGUCACUGAUUUAUCUACAAAACAGAAAAAAAUAUAGUACCUCUCCUAUUUAUCUUCUAGGGUUGUUUUGAGACUCAAAUGUGAUCAUAUAGUCAUUUGGUGAUUUCACCUGUACAAAUGAAAUGAAGGAUAUCAUUUCUUUGAAACAUUCAUAAAGCAAAAAUGGCUUAAUAAGUCCAAUCAAUACUUUGCAGAGACUUUAAUUCAUCCCUUUUGAGUUCUUUCCUUUGCACCACUCUUUCUUUUUGUGAGCCUAGAGAGGUUAGGGAUGAGAGAUGAUGGAGAACUUUGAGGAGAAUCUUUUCCUUCUGUUAGAAACAGAGUGUCUCAUUAUCAAACUUUCAUGAGAACCUCAUCUGGAAUUUUAAAAGAUGACAGCUAGACUGAAUUUUAUAGGCGUGGCCUUUCGGGGGAAACCUAGGAUUUGAAAUUUCAA